ensembl:lncRNA
UGUGAAGAAAUCAGCUGUCACUGAAAACAACAUUAGCCCAAAUAAAUCAUCUAGAGAAAAUCUGCUUUCUCACAUGAACAAGAUACUUCAAACAAGAACUCAAGAAAAAAGUGCAUCCAGUGUUUUGCGUAAAGACGGGAAUUAGUUUGAACACCUAUUCUUAAAGGAAAUUGAGCUGAAAAUUUACAGAGAGGAAUGAUGUAGACUGAAACUUUACACGGGGAACCAUCUGACUGUGGUCAAAAUACUUUACAGAUCAUUUUUUUGGCUCCAAAUUCACUCCCACAAGGUUUUAAAUUCUUCUGCUUUCAGUCCCAUUGUGGAAAAUGAUAAUUUCUGAAAUAUUUUAAAUGGAUGUGGCAGCUUAUAAGAACAAAUCUAUGCUUCUGGUGUCCAACUCAGGAGUUAUCCAUUUUGUCUGCAAUCAAAAUAAGUCUUAAGUCAGGAGCUCUGAGGAGAACUGGAACAAGCUGCUCCGAGAUGCUGACCUACUGAGUAAGAAAGAAGAGAGGAAGGACAAAAACAAACAAACAAACAGCAAAAACAUCUGCUCACUUACAUGAAGUAAAUGCUAUAUAUUAAAAACAGUAUUUCUCUGGAGUGGAAUAUAAUCUUUGUCAUACAGCAGUCUGUGAGUAACUCUGUAGAGAGCUUUCACUUCAUCAGAGAUAUCUGAAUCAACUAUAGCUAGGCAAAAUAAUGCAGCUGCUGACCAGUUACAGUCUCAUCAGAAUAGCAUGGGUAACUCAAUGGUCCUUGAAUAAUUUUACUUUAUUUCCCUCCCCCCCCGACCCCCCUUCCUUCAGACUGUGGUUUUAUGUAGAGAUAAGCUUUAUAUAAGCUCCUUUGGGAAUCUGGCCAUUUAGUUUGAUGUUUCUAAAUCCAUGGUUCAUGGACUAUGUCUGUGAGAUGUCAGUGCACAGUACACAAAAUAUUUCAGAAUAGUCAUUCUAAAAGCAUAGAUGUAAUCCACGCUGCAAACAAAAGGAAAGUUUAUUAAAGUAACAGAAAGACUUUCAAAAUUCAGCAUAAUUUUUAUUUAUCUACUGAAGAGGCACACUUGUGGUAACGCUGCAUACGACAGCUGGUGGAUAUAUUCCAAUGUGAUGCUGUUUGCUCUACUAAGUUCUGAGAAAUCCACCUAUGUUUAUCCUGAGGUUGACAUUCAGGUGUAUAUAACAAUCUAACAUCAAAAUGAAAUUCCACCAUGUCCCUGUUGCCAAUCCUUAGUCUAUACUGUGUCCUAAUGAACGCAUUGCAUAAAUGAUCUGGUACUAAACAAGUACUGUAAGAAUUUUAAAUUUCAUUAUUGCUGUUGUCCACUAAAAGCUGUCAAAGAAAAAUAAAUACAUUAGAUU